UGGCGUGUGGUCCAAACGGCAGGACACCGCACUGUUAAUGCGGGUGAUGUGGGUUCGAAUCCCGCCACGCCAG
rnacentral:tRNA from 1 species